GGCUGCAACAACCCCGUGGAUGGGGAAGCCCAGGCUGAUCGGCCGAGUCGCCGAUCCCGCUUGGCGCUUCAGCGCAUCCACUGCAGCC
rnacentral:sRNA from 12 species